rnacentral:rRNA from 1 species
CUCAAGGGUUAUAUUUUUAUAAUGAACAAAACUACACUGAAACCUGAAACAUCGAUCACUGAAGUUAAGCAACGUUGAGCGUGGAUAGUACUUGGAUGGGUGACCGCUUGGGAACACCACGUAACGUUGACA